CCUACGGGCGGCAGCAGUCGAGCAUCAUUCACAAUGGGGGAAACCCUGAUGGUGCGACGCCGCGUGGGGGAAUGAAGGUCUUCGGAUGGUACACCCAUGUCAUGUGGGAGCAAAUUAAAAAGAUAGUACCACAAGAGGAAGAGACGGCUAACUCUGUGCCAGCAGACGCGGUACUACAGAGGUCUCAAGCGUUGUUCGGAAUCACUGGGCGUAAAGCGUGCGUAGGCUGUUUCAUAAGUCGUUUGUGAACGGCGUGGGCUCACACCGCGGACGGAACAUGGUACUGCGAGAUAAGAGAAAUGGAGGGGGAACGUGAAUUCGCGGUGUAUCAGUGAAAUGCGUAGAUAUCGAGAGGAACACUCGUGGCGAAGGCGGGUUCCUGGACAUUAACUGACGCUGAGGCACGAAGGCCAGGGGAGCGAAAGGGAUUAGAUACCCCAGUAGUC
rnacentral:rRNA from 1 species